UCUCUCUCUCUCUUCCUUCACGUGCCUAACCUUUCUUCUUUUCUUCUUCUGCUUUUCCAAAAGAUUCCCCCUUAGUUGUUCCCCCCUUUUUCCUUCACGUGUUGUCCCCCCCUUUUUUUUUUUUUUUUCUCUCUCUCUUCCUUUUCACGUGUUGUUCUCUCUUCUUCUUUUUUUCUUUUCUUCUCUUCCUUUUCUGAGACCAGUGCUGUCUCUUUCUCCUUCUUUCUGUCUCUCUUUCCCUUCUCCUUUCUUCUCUCUCUCCUUUCUCCUGUCAGAUGAAAUUGAAGUGGAGUGCAGAUCAGAGAAUUUCAGCGUGGCGAGUAUAGCGGCUGCGGCGGUGGAGCGGCUGCUGCGGUGAAGCUGAAGGCGGUCGAUCGGAGAUGCUGCAGAUCGGGUUUCGUUGGUGGGAAUGGAGGAAUCAAGCUGAUGUGAGGCUGGAAAGGUUAGUGGGCUACAGCUCACUUAACACAGUAUGUAGGCUCUUAAAUUAG
rnacentral:lncRNA from 1 species